rnacentral:tRNA from 1 species
GCCGGGGUAGCUCAGUUGGUCAGAGCGCUUCACUCAUAAAGAAGAGGUUCGCGGGUUCGAUCCCCGCCCCCGGCA